CUCGUCCGGUGGCCUUCCAGAAACCGGCAGCCGUCGCCCGGUUUGUCCGUGUCCCCGUCGGAUACUUCUUGUCUUUGUGGCUGAAGAAGUACCAGUCAUUCUGUGGGGUGGACCCUAUUUUGCAUUUCUCUGCAAAUUAAGGGCCAGCUUCUUCCGGAGGUAAUAUUGCAGGAGUUCCUCUUCGGUGGGGUGGAAACGGAAGCCUGGAGGCACCUUGGAAUGUCCGUUCACGGACAAACUCAUGUCCUCUGACAUUAUGCCAAUAUCCUUGGGACAGACAAUGAUGGGGGGCUUUGGCUUUCGUGGGAAAGAAACACGUGUCGUCCUUAUAUUAUUACAUACCCAUCGUACAUAUACAAAUGUACGUCUCAACUCAGAUUCUUGAAGGAGACAUACGACCGCUUGUUUCUUUACAACCAUCAAAAUUUGUAUGUAAGAUGUGUAUUGGAUAUAUACAUGCAGGUACGAUAUC